GUGUUAAAUGAAGAUAGUAAUACCUCAAUUUUACCCGGCUUACAUGAAGAAAAUAAAGAAGUCCAAAUUACAAGUGGGCCUAUAUGGCCCAAACUGAAAUAAAAUACAGUGGCCCAAAACAAAAUCAGAAACCCUACGGUUUCUCAAGAUCAACAGCGCCGCAACCAUACCCCUAAUCUCCGCGCGAUCUUCAUACCUGCACAACAAGGAAGGAAACAAAACAGAAUACGACAAGAAAAAUCUUUGAAAUCACGAAUCAAGCAAGAUAUCAGAGGAUUUUGUUUACUUUUCUUGUUUCAUUAUUUGCUAUAAAAGCAAACUAAACACACUGUAAUAUGGAUGGGGAUUUUGAAAAAAUCAAUAAAAAGAGCAAGCAUUUUCACAGCAUAAAUGGAGCAAAAAUCGAUAAAAGGUGGUUACUUGUAAUUCUUUUUAUUUAUUUUCUUUACUGUUAUAGUUAUUUUUUUACAAAUAAAUAAGAUUAAAAAGGGAAAAAGGGAAAAGAAACAACCUUUUUAUUUCUGAAACGAGAACGAGGCGGUAGAGGGAGCCUCCCCCGAGGAUCGGUGGCCGGAAACUGAAAGGUUUCGUGCCUGCUUUGAGGAUUUUCAUUGAUAUUUUGGUGUUUUUGAGCCCGGAUUUGGGUUUAGAAAGGUCGAGAAGGCCAAACCAGGGAUUUUCCCCUUUUUCGGCCACCGCAAGCGGCGGUGCCAGUGCUGGAGAUCGGCGGCUGGCGCGGUGGCCGACGACCGGCCGAUGACCGCCGAUGACCGACCGAUGGCCGGAGGAUAGAGGAGGUUGAGAGCUUUUUUGAAGGGAUUUUC
rnacentral:lncRNA from 1 species